ACGAAAAGCAGUAGGCGAGGAGACCUAACCGCGAACGAAAAGAACGAUCUUACUUUAUAUGGAUAAACGACACGUUACGAUUCAGUUGUAUACUUAAUGAAUUGUAGUGAAAGAUAAUUUUUUUUUUUUAAAAGAAUUUCUAAACAGCUAUUGAAUCGCUAAGAAAAAUGCAGAUUCUUUUAGGACUGUUAAUAUUAAUUACUGAUGCAUAUUGUUUGUAUUCUUCGAAUUCGGAUGUCAUUGAUCUCAAACCAAAUAAUUUUGAUAGUUCAGUAAUAGACAGUGAACAUGUGUGGAUUGUGGAAUUUUAUGCACCAUGGUGCGGACAUUGUCAACAAUUUGUACCAGAAUAUGACAAAGCUGCAACGGCUUUAAAGGGAAUCGCAAAACUAGGAGCUAUAAAUGCGGAUGAACAUAAAUCUCUUGGAUCUAGAUUUGGUGUACGUGGUUUUCCAACAGUUAAAAUUUUUGGUCAUGAUAAAAAUAAACCCGAAGAUUUCAAUGGACCUCGUACAGCAGCUGGUCUCAUUGAUGCUGCUACAAAUGCAGUUUCUCAGAAAGCAUAUGCAAAAUUAGGUGUCAAAAAAGGUGGUAGUGGUAAUAAACAAACUAAAGAUUCCAAGGAUGUAAUCGAAUUAACUGACGAGAAUUUUGACAAAUUAGUAUUAAAUUCAGAAGAUAUGUGGUUGGUUGAAUUUUAUGCUCCAUGGUGUGGACAUUGCAAAAAUUUGGCACCUGUCUGGGCUUCUGCAGCUACAGAACUUAAAGGCAAAGUAAAAUUAGGAGCUCUCGAUGCAACUGCACAUAGAGUCAAAGCGAGUCUAUAUGAAAUAGUGGGAUAUCCAACCAUUAAAUAUUUCCCGUUAGGCAAGAAAAGUGCUGACUCGGUACAGGAAUAUGAUGGUGGUCGUACUAGCACUGAUAUUGUUAACUGGGCUUUGGAUAAACUGGCUGAAAAUAUACCAGCACCCGAAGUAGUUCAAAUUGUUAAUGAAAAAAGUUUAAGAAGUGCAUGCGAAGAUAAACCACUUUGUGUAGUUUCAGUGUUACCGCAUAUAUUAGAUUGUCAGUCAGAAUGUAGAAAUCAGUACUUAAAAGUUUUAAGUGAUCUUGGAGAAAAUUACAAAAAGAAAAUGUGGGGGUGGGUUUGGUCAGAGGCAGGAGCUCAAUCGAACAUAGAAGAUGCAUUAGAAAUUGGGGGAUUUGGUUAUCCUGCUUUAGCGGCAGUAAAUAUUAAAAAAAUGAAGUAUUCUCUGUUGAAGGGAAGUUUUUCCUACGAUGGAAUAAAUGAAUUCUUAAGAGAUUUAAGUUAUGGACGUGGUGGAACUGCUCCUUUGAAAGGAGCUCAGUUACCUUCUAUACUUGAAAUUACACCUUGGGACGGUAAAGAUGCUGAACCACCGCAAGAAGAAGAAAUCGAUCUUAGUGAUAUAAAUUUGGAUGAGAAAGAUGAAUUGUAAUCAUGAAAUAUCAAUGAAAUCUUUUUUUAAUGAUGCUGUACUCAGUCUGUCAGCUACAAUAUGUUUCAGUAUUGUAUGUAUCACUGAAAAUCAAUCUGCAGGUGGUCUCUUUUAAAUAUAUUAAGUUUUCGAAAUAUCGAUGCUUGAAUUAUGGAGAAAUAUAGUAUUAUGUUUGUCAACUACUUGGACCAAAAGUUAUUUGGAAAUAUCAUUUUAUAAAAAUCACAUUGAAAGUAUGUCUGUAUUGCAUAAACUGUAUUUUUCCAUGAUAUAGGCGUUCCUUCCAAGAAAGCCAAUUACAUAAAUUUAUGUAAACUUCCUAGAAAAAAAAAAAGAGAAAAAAAAAAAGAAAAACAAACAAACAAAAAAGAAAAAUGAUGCAUUUAUAUACAGCAUUAAUCCUUGUAACAUAAUCCUUAUUGUUUUAAUAUUUUUUUAUACCUAACUUUAAAUUAAAUUUUUUCUAUCAGUGUUUCUUCUUUACAUAUCUAUUCGUAAGAAAAUUAAUAAUUUACUACACGUAUCACAAAUAAAAUUUUUUUAUAUUUAUAAAGAAAAAAAAAAAAAAGUGCAUUUUUGCUCAUGCCUGGAAUUCUCUGUAAAAGUGUAAUGUCAAUUAACAUGCU